GACGAACGCUGGCGGCGUGCUUAACACAUGCAAGUCGAACGGAAAGGCCCUGCUUUUGUUGGGUGCUCGAGUGGCGAACGGGUGAGUAACACGUGAGUAACCUGCCCCUGACUUUGGGAUAACUUCAGGAAACUGGGGAUAAUACAGGAUAGGAGCUCCUGCUGCAUGGUGGGGGUUGGAAAGAUUCGGCGGUUGUGGCUGGACUAGCUGCUUACCAGCUUGUUGGUGGGGUAGUGGCUGACCAAGGCUUUGACGGAUAGGCGGCCUGAGAGGGGGACCGGCCACAUGGGGACUGAGGUAGGGCCCAGACUCCUAUGGGAGGCAGCAGUGGGGAAUAUUGCACAAUGGGCGGGAGCCUGAUGCAGCAACGCCGCGUGCGGGAUGACGGCCUUCGGGUUGUAAACCGCUUUCGCCUGUGACGAAGCGGGAGUGACGGUAAUGGGUAAAGAAGCACCGGCUAACUACGUG
rnacentral:rRNA from 1 species